rnacentral:rRNA from 1 species
GACGAACGCUGGCGGCAGGCUUAACACAUGCAAGUCGAACGGGUGCAGCAAUGCAUCAGUGGCAGACGGGUGAGUAACACGUGGGAACCUUCCUAGGGGUACGGAACAACUCAGGGAAACUUGAGCUAAUACCGUAUACGUCCGUGAGGAGAAAGAUUUAUCGCCCUUAGACGGGCCCGCGUCGGAUUAGCUAGUUGGUGGGGUAAUGGCCUACCAAGGCGACGAUCCGCAGCUGAUCUUAGAGGAUGAUCAGCCACACUGGGACUGAGACACGGCCCAGACUCCUACGGGAGGCAGCAGUGGGGAAUCUUGGACAAUGGGCGCAAGCCUGAUCCAGCCAUGCCGCGUGAGUGAAGAAGGUCUUCGGAUUGUAAAGCUCUUUUGCCAGGGACGAUAAUGACGGUACCUGGGGAAUAAGCCCCGGCAAACUUCGUGCCAGCCGCCGCCGUAAAAC